AUUCGGAGGGUCCAAGCGUUAUCCGGAAUCAUUGGGUUUAAAGGGUCCGCAGGCGGUCAAUUAAGUCAGAGGUGAAAGCCCAUCGCUCAACGAUGGAACUGCCUUUGAUACUGGUUGACUUGAGUUAUACGGAAGUAGAUAGAAUAAGUAGUGUAGCGGUGAAAUGCAUAGAUAUUACUUAGAAUACCGAUUGCGAAGGCAGUCUACUACGUAUAUACUGACGCUGAGGGACGAAAGCGUGGGGAGCGAACAGGAUUAGAAACCCUAGUAGUCC
rnacentral:rRNA from 1 species